rnacentral:rRNA from 1 species
UACGGAGGGUGCAAGCGUUAAUCGGAAUUACUGGGCGUAAAGCGUGCGUAGGCGGUUCGUUAAGUCUGUUGUGAAAGCCCCGGGCUCAACCUGGGAAUGGCAAUGGAUACUGGCGAGCUAGAGUGUGUCAGAGGAUGGUGGAAUUCCCGGUGUAGCGGUGAAAUGCGUAGAGAUCGGGAGGAACAUCAGUGGCGAAGGCGGCCAUCUGGGACAACACUGACGCUGAGGCGCGAAAGCGUGGGGAGCAAACAGG